UGAGGAAUAUUGGUCAAUGGGCGGAAGCCUGAACCAGCCAAGUAGCGUGAAGGAUGACUGCCCUAUGGGUUGUAAACUUCUUUUACAAGGGAAUAAUUGUGGGUACGCGUACCCAUUUGCAUGUACCUUAUGAAUAAGGAUCGGCUAACUCCGUGCCAGCAGCCGCGGUAAUACGGAGGAUCCGAGCGUUAUCCGGAUUUAUUGGGUUUAAAGGGAGCGUAGGCGGGCGCUUAAGUCAGCUGUGAAAGUUUGGGGCUCAACCUUAAAAUUGCAGUUGAUACUGGGUGCCUUGAGUGCAGUAUAGGCAGGCGGAAUUCGUGGUGUAGCGGUGAAAUGCUUAGAUAUCACGAAGAACUCCUAUUGCGAAGGCAGCUUGCUGGAGUGUAACUGACGCUGAUGCUCGAAAGUGUGGGUAUCAAACAGGAUUAGAUACCCUGGUAGUCCACACAGUAAACGAUGAAUACUCGCUGUUUGCGAUAUACUGCAAGCGGCCAAGCGAAAGCGUUAAGUAUUCCACCUGGGGAGUACGCCGGCAACGGUG
rnacentral:rRNA from 1 species